UUUUUGGAGAACAAAAACGAAAUAUAUAUUGAACUCACUACAUUUUUCAUUGUUUCACAUGACUGUUUGCCAGAAGAUCAUUUUGCUCUUGUUUUAAUCCGUGUAUGGUAACUUGCACUGACAUUCUAAGUUUGAUUAAUGGAUAUUAUUGCCUUUCUUUCCAUUUUCCCCAAUAAUUAUGAGUCCAUGGCAGCCAUCAUCCAGUAAGUUAUCUGGCUAUCAUUUAGUUGCUUCAUGUAGCAGAAUGCUUCAAUAGCUUUGGCAAUAUCUAUAAGCUUUUGGUUUCCAUGUUCCUAAGCUUGUGAUUUUCAGCUCUUGUAUUAGGCUAUAAAUGAUAUGUUGUUAUCCCAUUUUCAGCAAAUCAGAACAUUCAUCCAGAUGAGGACUAACCUGAAGGUGGUUGAUAACUCUGGGGCCAAGCGGGUGAUGUCCAUCCAGUCCUUGAGGGGGAAGAAAGGAGCAAGGCUCGGGGACAUGAUCAUCGGAUCCGUAAAGGAGGCCCAGCCUUGUGGCAAGGUCAAGAAAGGAGACGUAGUCUACGGCGUGGUCGUCCGCGCCGCCAUGAGGAAAGGGCGCAGCGACGGCAGCGAGGUCCAGUUCGACAACAACGCGGUGGUCCUCGUGAACAAGAAGGGCGAGCUGAUCGGCACCCGCGUCUUCGUCCCCGUCCCCCACGAGCUGAGGAAGAAGAAGCACCUCAAGAUCGUGGCCCUGGCUGAACACAUCGUUUGAGGUGUGUUGCAGAGCCAAGUGUUUGUGUGGGAAUGUUUUUUUUGUGUGUUCUCUGUUUGAAUAAUGCAUUGUGAAACGAUAGCAUGGACCGUUUGAACUAUUUUGAUGAUAUUGCUCGCCCAUUUGGAUGGCCAAUACGUGUCGUGAUCGAUUCUGGAGUUUCAUU